rnacentral:rRNA from 1 species
UACGUAGGUGGCAAGCGUUGUCCGGAUUUAUUGGGUUUAAAGGGUGCGUAGGCGGCUUUUUAAGUCAGUGCUGAAAUAUCCCGGCUUAACCGGGAGGGUGGCAUUGAUACUGGAAAGCUUGAGUGAAGUCGAAGUAGGCGGAAUUGACGGUGUAGCGGUGAAAUGCUUAGAUAUCGUCAAGAACACCGAUAGUGUAGACAGUUUACUAGGCUUUAACUGACGCUGAGGCACGAAAGUGUGGGGAUCAAACAGG